GUUUCAGCCGCCGCGGUAAUACGUAGGGUGCGAGCGUUGUCCGGAAUUAUUGGGCGUAAAGAGCUCGUAGGCGGUCUGUCGCGUCGGAUGUGAAAACACGGGGCUCAACCCCGUGCCUGCAUUCGAUACGGGCAGACUAGAGUUCGGUAGGGGAGACUGGAAUUCCUGGUGUAGCGGUGAAAUGCGCAGAUAUCAGGAGGAACACCGGUGGCGAAGGCGGGUCUCUGGGCCGAUACUGACGCUGAGGAGCGAAAGCGUGGGGAGCGAACAGGAUUAGAAACCCUGGUAGUCC
rnacentral:rRNA from 1 species